rnacentral:lncRNA from 1 species
GAACUACCAUGAGAGGGCCCCCUUUCUCCAGCACUGAUCUGAGAAGGCCACAGACAUCAGACUGCUCUUGGAGACCCCAUGAACAGGUCCUGUGCAGGCCUCUCAUCUGCCCAGGAGGGAGCACUCUCUCAUCUCCAAAACAAAAUGACUAGCUCAGGUCACACCACCAGUGUGUCAGAUCACCCCAGCCCAGUCACUUAGGCCCCUCUGUCUCACUCAGCUCCCUACCUGGCUAUCCCUGGACCUUCUGGAUAUACCUCCACCUCCAAGUAUCUACAGCAGCCUGGCUGUCUGGACCCCACAGAUGCAGUGGGGCGCCUGGUCCACCCCCUUUACAUAGCCUUUGGGGUGGGUGCGGCUCCUCUCCCCUACCCAGAGGCUCCACCGCUCCUUCAAUCAGCCUCUCCCUCCUCCCUGUUCCAGCUGAGAUCCUGCAGGCUAACGACAAUCUCACCCAGGUGAUCAACCUGUACAAGCAGCUGGUCCGGGGUGAGGAGCUCAAUGGUGAAGCCACAGCCGGCUCCAUUCCUGGAAGCACCUCAGCCCUGCUGGACCUCUCAGGCCUGGACCUCCCUUCCUCCGGCACCACAUACCCAGCCACGCCCACUCGCCCUGGCAACCAGAACAGUCCAGAGCAACUGAGUGCCUCAGUGUCCUUGCUCGAUGAUGAGCUCAUGUCUUUGGGCCUAAGUGACCCCACACCACCUUCAGCUCCCAGCUCAGAUAGUGUCGGGUGGAACGGCUUCCAGUCAUCAGAUGGCACUGAACCCUCAGUCC